ACUGACGCCUGCCCGGUGCCGGAAGGUUAAGAGGAUCCGUCAGCCUUCGGGUGAAGCGGUGAAUUCAAGCCCCGGUAAACGGCGGUGGUAACUAUAACCAUCCUAAGGUAGCGAAAUUCCUUGUCGGGUAAGUUCCGACCUGCACGAAUGGCGUAACGACUUCCCCACUGUCUCGACCAGGAGCUCGGCGAAAUUGCAGUACGAGUAAAGAUGCUCGUUAAGCGCAGAAGGACGAAAAGACCCCGGGACCUUUACUAUACCUUGGUAUUGGCAUUCGGUGUGGAUUGUGUAGCAUAGGCGGGAGGCCGAGAGGCGCGGUCGCCAGAUCGCGCGGAGCCGUAAGGUGAAAUACCGCUCUGUUCGCAUUGGAUGUCUAACCUCGAACAGUCAUCCUGUUCAGGGACAGUGCCUGGCGGGUAGUUUAACUGGGGCGGUUGCCUCCCAAAGAGUAACGGAGGCGCCCAAAGGUCCGCUCAGCCCGGUUGGCAAUCGGGUGGCGAGUGCAAGUGCACAAGCGGGCUUGACUGCGAGGACGACGGUCCGAGCAGGGACGAAAGUCGGGACUAGUGAUCCGGUGCCGGUGUACGGACGCGGCAUCGCUCAACGGAUAAAAGGUACCCCGGGGAUAACAGGCUGAUCAUUCCCAAGAGUCCAUAUCGACGGGAUGGUUUGGCACCUCGAUGUCGGCUCGUCGCAUCCUGGGGCUGGAGCAGGUCCCAAGGGUUCGGCUGUUCGCCGAUUAAAGCGGCACGCGAGCUGGGUUCAGAACGUCGUGAGACAGUUUGGUCUCUAUCCUCUGCGCUCGUUGGAAUGCUGAGGAGGCCUGCCCAUAGUACGAGAGGACCUGGGUGGACGAACCUCUGGUAUGCCGGUUGUCACGCCAGUGGCACGGCCGGUUGGCUACGUUCGGAAGGGAUAACCGCUGAAAGCAUCUAAGCGGGAAGCCUGCUCCAAGAUAAGCAUUCCGUGGAACCUUCGAGUUCCUGUAGUCCCCAUGCAGAACACGUGGUUGAUAGGCCGGACGUGGAAGCCCCGCGAGGGGUGGAGCCGACCGGUACUAACGGACGAAAGGCAACACUAA
rnacentral:rRNA from 1 species